rnacentral:sRNA from 1 species
CUACAUUUGGGACAGCGCUGACCUCCAAAGAUAAAUAUCCAGUUUGUCGGUCCAAACUGGCAUAACUUCAGUUAGUGGUCUGGGUUGGAGGAUACAUAAUCUUCAGCGAUGAUCGUGCCAGUUGUCUUGGCAACGCUUUUUCAGUAUGCUCUCUCGGCCUACACUGACCCUCACUGUAUGGGGGGCAGAGACGGUAUUGUCCAUC